UUAAAAACAUUGACAGGGAAGAGUAGAUAGAUGUAUGUUUUACAGAGAGUGGGGAAAGGUGAAAGCCCAUAAAUAAUUAUCUAUUGAAAAUCACCCUUGAGUUGCAGGCUGAAUUUAGUAAGCUGUGCCGGCCUUCUCCAAUGGCCGUUAUCAUUAAAGUUAUAAAUUUGGGUGGUACCGCGAGCAGAUUUCUUCGCCCCAGGG
rnacentral:ncRNA from 1 species